rnacentral:rRNA from 1 species
UACGUAGGGGGCAAGCGUUGUCCGGAAUCAUUGGGCGUAAAGGGCGCGUAGGCGGCCAUGCGUGUCUUCCGUGAAAUCCCUCGGCUUAACUGAGGACGUGCGGAAGAAACUGCAAGGCUCGAGACCAGGAGAGGUGAGUGGAAUUCCCAGUGUAGCGGUGAAAUGCGUAGAUAUUGGGAGGAACACCAGUGGCGAAGGCGGCUCACUGGACUGGUACUGACGCUGAUGCGCGAAAGCGUGGGGAGCAAACAGG